UAUUCUUUAUAGCUUGCUAUGAUAAAAAUUAGUGGCAGACGGGUGAGUAAUGCAUAGGAGUCUACCUAGUAGUAUGGGAUAGCCACUAGAAAUGGUGGGUAAUACUGUAUAAUCCCUGCGGGGGAAAGAUUUAUCGCUAUUAGAUGAGCCUAUGUUAGAUUAGCUAGUUGGUAGGGUAAAGGCCUACCAAGGCAGUGAUCUAUAGCUGGUCUGAGAGGAUGAUCAGCCACACUGGAACUGAGAUACGGUCCAGACUCCUACGGGAGGCAGCAGUGGGGAAUAUUGGACAAUGGGCGCAAGCCUGAUCCAGCUAUGCCGCGUGAG
rnacentral:rRNA from 1 species